rnacentral:rRNA from 1 species
GACGAACGCUGGCGGCGUGCUUAACACAUGCAAGUGGAGCGACGAACCAGGGCUUGCCCUGGGGCAAAGCCGCGAACGGGUGAGUAACACGUGGGUAACCUGCCCCGAUGACCGGGACAACCCGAGGAAACUCGGGCUAAUACCGGAUGAGCUCAUGCCACACGAGUGACAUGAGGAAAGGAAGCUUCGGCCUCCGCAUUGGGAUGGGCCCGCGGCCCAUUAGCUUGUUGGUGGGGUAACGGCCCACCAAGGCGACGAUGGGUAGCUGGUCUGAGAGGACGAUCAGCCACACUGGGACUGAGACACGGCCCAGACUCCUACGGGAGGCAGCAGUGGGGAAUCUUGCGCAAUGCGCGAAAGCGUGACGCAGCAACGCCGCGUGCGGGAAGACGGCCUUCGGGUUGUAAACCGCUUUCAGUUGGGACGAAGCUUCGCCGGUGAAUAGCCGGCCGGAGUGACGGUACCUUCACAAGAAGCCCCGGCUAACUACGUGCCAGCAGCCGCCGUAAUAC